CUCAACACUAAAAUCUUUAUUUUACAGGAGCACCAUUGGCUGAUUGGAUAAAAGAUGUGGAUGUGCGUGUACAAUAUGGAUUAAAUUUCGGCAAAAUUCGUGGUUUUAUCAAAACCGGUGAUUCUGUAAUAGUUGUCACAGGAUGGCGGCAAGGCUCGGGCUUUACGAAUACACUUCGUGUCGUGACUGUUGACUAAACUCACAUUAUACUGGAAAAUUAUAAGAAGAACUAUAGUCUUCAUGGAUGUAGAUGUAAUACAAAAGAUUAUCGAGUGAUAUGUAUUUGAACAUAUACGUAAUUGUAUAUGAUUCUUUUAUGAAUUCUAUUAAAUACAGUUAUAUAUUAAUCCUAA